rnacentral:rRNA from 1 species
GAUGAACGCUGGCGAGAUGCCUUACACAUGCAAGUCGUACGAGAGUUUUUAACUCAAGUGGCGGACGGGUGAGUAACACGUAAGAAUUUGCCUUUAGGAGGGGGACAACAACUGGAAACGGUUGCUAAUACCCCAUAUGCUUUCGAGUGAAAUGGAUUUUCCGCCUAGAGAGAAGCUUGCGGCUGAUUAGCUUGUUGGUGAGGUAAUGGCUCACCAAGGCGACGAUCAGUAUCUGGUUUGAGAGGACGAUCAGACACACUGGAACUGAGACACGGUCCAGACUCCUACGGGAGGCAGCAGUGGGAAUUUUCCGCAAUGGGCGAAAGCCUGACGGAGCAAUCUCGCGUGAGGGAUGACGGCCUAUGGGUUGUAAACCUCUUUUUCAGGGAGGAAUAAAUGACGUGUACCUGAAGAAUAAGCAUCGGCUAACUCCGUGCCAGCCGCCGCGGUAAU